rnacentral:lncRNA from 1 species
GGCCGACCGGGGAGCUCAGGCGUGUGUGUGUAAAUCAGGAGGCGUUUGGCUUGGAGCCAUUUUUUUUUUUUCUUCUUCUUCUUCUUCUUCUUCUUCUUAAUUGUGGAGACAGGAAAAAUCCCUUCCAACGGUUUUCCCAGGGAGACUGGCUUCGUCGGCCCGGCCUCCCCGCGGUCCCUAGUCUAUCUGCCGGCCUCGGGGUCCCGGGCGGGUCUCCUUUCCCUCUUUCUCCUCCCUGCCCUCCCCACCUUGAGUCAAGCCCCGCCAGCCAGCGGGUAAGCGGGGUGUCUGUCUGCAAAGCGGCCCGGUCACCUGUCGUGGCAGCUGCAUGGAAAUCCCGGCGCUCCUGCUGUCUGGAGCCUGUGCGGUUUCCUCUGGCAAAUCACGGAGAUUCCGCUCCCAGCGCCAACCCUUCCUCUGCGCCCCUGCGCCCUCCUAACCCAGCUCCUGGUGCUGACGCGAAGUUUCAUCGUUUGGGGGCAAUUAGCAAGGAGGUCCCCACUACUUUCUGUGGAGGCACCGCUUGGUUGGGAAGUGUUCUGCCUGCAUGUAUGUCUGCAUCCAGAAGAGAGCACCAGAUCUCAUUACAGAUGGUUGUG